AAACCACGUAUCGGGCAUUUUUUUAGUAGCUCCUUAAAUCGCUCCCAUGCUUCAUAUAAUGUUUCAUCCUCUGAUUGUCUAAACAAUGUAAUCUCAUUUCUCAACUU
rfam:Gossypium raimondii chromosome 8, whole genome shotgun sequence.